UGCUCCUUCAGAGGAGAAUCUGCUGGCUAGGGGGGCAGUGCAGUCGUUUAUAUCCCAAGGUGUGUGUGUGUGUGUGUGUGUGUGAGGCAGAGAGGUGUGAAAAAGGGCCGUGUCCCACCUAAAGUGGGAUAGGGAGCUGUGGGCCACCUUCUUUACUCUCGAGGAAGCUGUGUGUGUGUGUGUGUGUGUGUGUGUGUGUGUGUGUGUGUGUGUGAGGCAGAGAGGUGUGAAAAAGGGCCGUGUCCCACCUAAAGUGGGAUAGGGAGCUGUGGGCCACCUUCUUUACUCUCGAGGAAGCUGUGUGUGUGUGUGUGUGUGUGUGUGUGUGUGUGAGGCAGAGAGGUGUGAAAAAGGGUUGUGUCCCACCUAAAGUGGGAUAGGGAGCUGUGGGCCACCUUCUUUACUCUCAAGGAAGCUGUGUGUGUGUGUGUGUGUGUGUGUGUGUGUGUGUGUGUGUGUGUGUGUGUGUGUGU